rnacentral:misc_RNA from 1 species
CCUUAAAGAACCUGCCUUUGUAGUGCUCACACAGAUUGUCUGAUGAACGUAAAGAAGCAAGGCGUCUUGCGAUUGAGACUUCAGUGUCCCCUUCGUCUAGAGGCCCAGGACACCGCCCUUUCACGGCGGUAACAGGGGUUCGAAUCCCCUAGGGGACGCCACUUGCUGGUUCGUGAGUGAAAGACGCGUGCCGAUGUAUCUCAAAACUCAUCUUCGGGUGACGUUUGAGAUAUUUGCUCUUUAAUAAUCUGGAUCAAGCUGAAAAUUGAAACGACACACAGUUAAUGUGUGUUCGAGUCUCUCAAAUUUUCGCAAUCAGAAGUGAAACAUCUUCGGGUUGUGA